UAACUUGCAGGUGAUCCUGAGUAGUAGGUGGUGGCUCAAAGUGUCUAGGGCUCUGAUACGUGGGAUGGGAUUUUAUUGUUUUAUUUCAUUCUAUGUAUCAAAUUUUGGUUAAUGAUGUUGUAGCCCUACGAUUGAUGAAUUAUUCUGGUUGAGGCUUUUAUGCCAAGAUAUUGUUUGGAGUUUUAAAUAGUUGUUGACGUUUCAAUGAUAAUAUUCCGC
rnacentral:lncRNA from 1 species